UUUUCCAGGUAAAUCCGGAAAAUCAAGGCUGAGGCGUGAUGACGAGGCACUACGGUGCUGAAGCAACAAAUGCCCUGCUUCCAGGAAAAGCCUCUAAGCAUCAGGUAACAUCAAAUCGUACCCCAAACCGACACAGGUGGUCAGGUAGAGAAUACCAAGGCGCUUGAGAGAACUCGGGUGAAGGAACUAGGCAAAAUGGUGCCGUAACUUCGGGAGAAGGCACGCUGAUACGUAGGUGAAGUCCCUUGCGGAUGGAGCUGAAAUCAGUCGAAGAUACCAGCUGGCUGCAACUGUUUAUUAAAAACACAGCACUGUGCAAACACGAAAGUGGACGUAUACGGUGUGACGCCUGCCCGGUGCCGGAAGGUUAAUUGAUGGGGUUAGCGGUAACGCGAAGCUCUUGAUCGAAGCCCCGGUAAACGGCGGCCGUAACUAUAACGGUCCUAAGGUAGCGAAAUUCCUUGUCGGGUAAGUUCCGACCUGCACGAAUGGCGUAAUGAUGGCCAGGCUGUCUCCACCCGAGACUCAGUGAAAUUGAACUCGCUGUGAAGAUGCAGUGUACCCGCGGCAAGACGGAAAGACCCCGUGAACCUUUACUAUAGCUUGACACUGAACAUUGAGCCUUGAUGUGUAGGAUAGGUGGGAGGCUUUGAAGUGUGGACGCCAGUCUGCAUGGAGCCGACCUUGAAAUACCACCCUUUAAUGUUUGAUGUUCUAACGUUGGCCCCUAAUCGGGGUUGCGGACAGUGUCUGGUGGGUAGUUUGACUGGGGCGGUCUCCUCCUAAAGAGUAACGGAGGAGCACGAAGGUUGGCUAAUCCUGGUCGGACAUCAGGAGGUUAGUGCAAUGGCAUAAGCCAGCUUGACUGCGAGCGUGACGGCGCGAGCAGGUGCGAAAGCAGGUCAUAGUGAUCCGGUGGUUCUGAAUGGAAGGGCCAUCGCUCAACGGAUAAAAGGUACUCCGGGGAUAACAGGCUGAUACCGCCCAAGAGUUCAUAUCGACGGCGGUGUUUGGCACCUCGAUGUCGGCUCAUCACAUCCUGGGGCUGAAGUAGGUCCCAAGGGUAUGGCUGUUCGCCAUUUAAAGUGGUACGCGAGCUGGGUUUAGAACGUCGUGAGACAGUUCGGUCCCUAUCUGCCGUGGGCGCUGGAGAACUGAGGGGGGCUGCUCCUAGUACGAGAGGACCGGAGUGGACGCAUCACUGGUGUUCGGGUUGUCAUGCCAAUGGCACUGCCCGGUAGCUAAAUGCGGAAGAGAUAAGUGCUGAAAGCAUCUAAGCACGAAACUUGCCCCGAGAUGAGUUCUCCCUGACUCCUUGAGAGUCCUGAAGGAACGUUGAAGACGACGACGUUGAUAGGCCGGGUGUGUAAGCGCAGCGAUGCGUUGAGCUAACCGGUACUAAUGAACCGUGAGGCUUAACCUUACAAC
rnacentral:rRNA from 1 species